AAGGUCUCCGUUGGUGAACCAGCGGAGGGAUCAUUACCGAGUUUACAACUCCCAAACCCCUGUGAACAUACCAAUUGUUGCCUCGGCGGAUCAGCCCGCUCCCGGUAAAACGGGACGGCCCGCCAGAGGACCCCUAAACUCUGUUUCUAUAUGUAACUUCUGAGUAAAACCAUAAAUAAAUCAAAACUUUCAACAACGGAUCUCUUGGUUCUGGCAUCGAUGAAGAACGCAGCAAAAUGCGAUAAGUAAUGUGAAUUGCAGAAUUCAGUGAAUCAUCGAAUCUUUGAACGCACAUUGCGCCCGCCAGUAUUCUGGCGGGCAUGCCUGUUCGAGCGUCAUUUCAACCCUCAAGCCCAGCUUGGUGUUGGGACUCGCGAGUUAAAUCGCGUUCCCCAAAUUGAUUGGCGGUCACGUCGAGCUUCCAUAGCGUAGUAGUAAAACCCUCGUUACUGGUAAUCGUCGCGGCCACGCCGUUAAACCCCAACUUCUGAAUGUUGACCUCGGAUCAGGUAGGAAUACCCGCUGAACUUAAGCAUAUCA
rnacentral:rRNA from 1 species